rnacentral:pre_miRNA from 14 species
CUUUCUGAUCUCUGCUUUGACAUUUUAAUAGAAGAAAGUUGACCAAUGAAAGACCGCUGGAGUAGGGAGACCCUUACUCAUGUCUCGGGAUGAUGCGACCCCCCCCCAAGAACUCACGAGAGA